rnacentral:lncRNA from 1 species
GUUCAAAUGUUGCUUUUGUUCUUACUACAGGUAAUUUACAGGAAUCUCAGGUUGAUUCUUUAAGGGUCAGAUCAGUCAAGGUUUUUUUGUUUGCUGUCAAGGAUGGUGAAGUGACUUCUUCAGGUGAAAAGGUUCUUGAUUUUAAGAAUGUUGAGCAGACUUCUGUCACUAUCUUGCAAUCCAUCUUGCUUUCCUUGCCUUACAGUGGAUGCCCCACCAGUGUCUAUGGUAGAAGUGCAUAGAAGAGCUGCUAAGGUUGAGACAAGAGAUGAAGUGAGUGAAGGUGCACUUUAUGAAUCAGCAGUUGUGCAAGAAACAGAAGAGGAGGGUGUAGGAAAGAAAGUACAAACAAAGAAAGUUGCAUAUCCUGCAGCCUCUCCAGAACCAUCUUUUACUCCAGUUGUUAGCAUCCUUGGUGAAGUGGAGACUAUUGAAGAGCCAACAGACCGAUCACAGAAAGCACCAUCUCCUGAAAUUGCUCCCAUACCACCAUACGUGUCAGUUCCCAAAGAAGAUGAUGAGGUGCCCCAGGAUGUGCCAUCUAGCCCUAUUUUGGUCAGAGUUCCUUCCCCACUCGCAGCUGUUGGCUUUGUGGACAAGGCUCCAGGACGAGAGGUUUCUGAAGGGAAGCCCUUCGUGCAAGAACAAGCCCAGCCACCCCC